rnacentral:rRNA from 1 species
CUGGAGGUAUCAGAAGUGCGAAUGCUGACAUGAGUAACGAUAAGGGGAGUGAAAAACUCCCCCGCCGAAAGACCAAGGUUUCCUGUCCCAUGUUAAUCAGGGCAGGGUAAGUCGGCCCCUAAGGCGAGGCGGAAACGCGUAGUCGAUGGGAAACAGAUUAAUAUUUCUGUACUUCUAUAUAUUGCGAAGGAGGGACGGAGUAGGCUAGGUGAGCACGGCGUUGGUAGUCCGUGUGAAAGUAUGUAGGCGGUUGACUUAGGUAAAUCCGGGUCUUCAUUAACGCUGAGAUACGAGACGAGUGUCCAAGGACAUGAAGUCAUUGAUGCCAUGCUUCCAGGAAAAGCUUCUAAGCUUCAGAUAUAUAGGAACCGUACCCCAAACCGACACAGGUGGUUAGGUAGAGAAUACUAAGGCGCUUGAGAGAACUCGGGUGAAGGAACUAGGCAAAAUAGUACCGUAACUUCGGGAGAAGGUACGCUCUCUAAUGUGAAUGACUUGCUCAGUAAGCAUCGGAGAGUCGAAGUAACCAGGUGGCUGGAACUGUUUAUUAAAAACACAGCACUGUGCAAAAUCGAAAGAUGACGUAUACGGUGUGACGCCUGCCCGGUGCCGGAAGGUUAAUUGAUUGGGUUAGCUCUGCGAAGCUCAUGAUCGAAGCCCCGGUAAACGGCGGCCGUAACUAUAACGGUCCUAAGGUAGCGAAAUUCCUUGUCGGGUAAGUUCCGACCUGCACGAAUGGCGUAAUCAUGGCCACACUGUCUCCACCCGAGACUCAGUGAAAUUGAAUUUGCGGUUAAGAUGCCGUAUACCCGCGGCUAGACGGAAAGACCCCGUGAACCUUUACUAUAGCUUGACAGUGAACAUUGCUCCUACAUGUGUAGGAUAGGUGGGAGGCUUUGAAACUUUGUCGCCAGAUGAAGUGGAGCCAACCUUGAAAUACCACCCUUGUAUGCGUGAUGUUCUAACCUAGGGCCCUUAUCGGGCUUGGGGACACUGUCUGGUGGGUAGUUUGACUGGGGCGGUCUCCUCCCAAAGAGUAACGGAGGAGCACGAAGGUUGGCUAAGUACGGUCGGACAUCGUACGGUUAGUGUAAUGGUAGAAGCCAGCUUAACUGCGAGACAGACACGUCGAGCAGGUACGAAAGUAGGUCAUAGUGAUCCGGUGGUUCUGUAUGGAAGGGCCAUCGCUCAACGGAUAAAAGGUACUCCGGGGAUAACAGGCUGAUAC